rnacentral:pre_miRNA from 1 species
AGUGGGAUAGUUGGGUCAAAUGGUGGUUCCAUUCAAACUUUCCAAGGAAUCUCCUACUUUCUAGAUUGACUGCACCAUUUGCAGUCCCACCAGCAAU